AUAUGAUUAGCUAAGUUGGUUAAGAGCAUCCCGAUUUCUUCGGGAGGAUCGGGGGUUCGAACCCCUUUUCGAAUU
rnacentral:tRNA from 1 species